UUAUGUGACCCAAGUAAAUAACAUAAAGGUGAUGUGAUUAAUAUAUUUUAUUUUUCUGCAAAAUAUAGAUAAAUAAUCAAUAGCAAGUCAAUCUUCUAUAGAGAAUUUAUGAAGCAAUUUGAUCUCUCUUUCCAAUAUAUAAGAUAAACCAUUAGGAGGGAUAAAAGGUAAAGCAAUGUUCCAAAAAAAAUUAACAUGCAUUUGACAUUUAGUAUCAAUUUUGAUAGGAGGAAAAUACUACUGUUCAUCUCAGCAUGUGUGGUCUUGUGUUAACUAUUUUCUUUGUGAUAUAUUGUUAACGUUGGGUUUCAUACUGCUACACUAGGUUUAUCUGAAAAUCAAAACGGGGGAAAAACAGAUUAGACUAACUACUUCUGCAAGUAUGUUUUGGACUGAUAUUCUGACACUUCACAGUUUCAAACACCGCAUAACACUUACAACAUUGGACUAUGAACGGGUAAAUUCAAAUACUUAACAACUAGGUAACAUGAUCAGAUGUAUCUGGAAAGGUUGACAUCCAAUCUUAAGGUCGAAUUCUGGGCACUGCCAUAUUGAAGAAGACAUUGACAAAUGAUGAUGUGCAGAGAAGAGUGACUAAGAUGAUAAAUUACAAGCAAAUAGAUUUUUGUUGGACAACAGGAGAAAUGAUGAACUAACUGCAGGAAGUGUUUAAACAGAAGCUGGAUGACCAUCUGUUUGAAAAGCUAAGAUGGUGGAUUCUGAUGAACGGUGGUUAGACAAAAUAGUUUUCAAGUUUUAAUGAUUCAUGGGAUUUUGAAAAGAAAAAAAAAUGAAAGAAAACUUUAUUGACGUAAGGAAUUGCAUAAGAGCAGAUCAUUCCAACUAUUUGUGACUCUCCAGUAAUGCUUCAUUCCCAUGUGAGUCUCUACAUAUUUUUCAAUAUUGUGGCAACCAAAACUGGAUGCAAUAUUCCAAGUGUGGUCUUACCAAGCCAUUAUAAAAUGGGAUUAACACUUCACAUGAAUUUGAUUCAGUGGUGGGUUGCUACUGGUUCCCCUCGGUUCAGGUGAACUGAUAGCAGCAGUGGCGGAACGCUCCGCCCACCCACCCGGAUGUCAUCAAAUACGCUCUGUGCAUGUGCAGAAGCUUCUGCGCAUGCACAGAAGUGGUGCGUGCACGAGCGAAGUGAUCACACACGCACGAGUGAACCAGUAGCAAAGCUGGGACACGGCAGCAGUGCGGUUGCAGCACGGCUGCAGCAGAGGAACAGGAGAAGAGCUGCAGUUCUCCAUUUGGUCGACUCCGGAUGAACCCUGAGGGGCGAGAAAGGUCUCAAAACGCUCACCCCAGUCUCAUCCAGCCAAACGGGGGUCGUUGAUGGUCAAGACCCCCCUCGACACCCCAAAACGUCCAAACACGCCCCCAUCCGACCGCAGCACUCAGGGAGCAGCCGCCAUCUUGCGCAUACUCAAUCAUGCGGAAUCAAUACUUGAUUGUAUUCCUCUAUUAAUGUAACCUAGACCCGCAUUGGCUUUUUUGGCAGCUGUAGACUCUGCUGGCACAUAUUUAAGUGAUUGUCCACUAGGAAUUCAAGAUCCCUCUCGCUACUGUUGAGCCAGGUACCACCUAUUCUAUACUUGUGCAUUUGAUUUUUCUUGCCUAAAUGUAAAACUUUACUUUUUUCUUGCCUAAAUGCAAAACCUUACUUUUCAUUUACAGUAAUUAAAGGAUUCUUUAUAUUUGUGCCACUGUUCUUUCAAUGACUCAAAAAAUGUAUAGAAGGUAUGUCUUUAGUGAAAUGCAACAGACACAGGAAGGUGAUAGUAAUGUCUUAUCUUUCCUCUUACAGCUUAGGAUAGAGUCAUCUUGUUAAGAAUGACAAUUAGACUUGACACCUCUUGUAUAUCAAAGCUGCUAUAUUGCAUUUCAAAGAAUGUUACUGUAGUAUAUUCACUUUUUAAAUGAUAUUCUUGUCUUUCUUCUAGUUUUCCUGCAUCUUUUAUCUGUCAGAAAGUAAUUCAUUACAUAGAAUAUAUGCAAUGCAUAUUCACUUUGAUCAAUAUACAUGCAAAGUCUAUGUAACUUUAUGGUACUUGCUUUUGACCUGCCUGUGUGCAAGAGACCAUUGAUUUACUAUAGU